rnacentral:rRNA from 1 species
CUACGUGCCAGCAGCCGCGGUAAUACGGAAGGUCCGGGCGUUAUCCGGAUUUAUUGGGUUUAAAGGGAGCGUAGGCCGCCUCUUAAGCGUGUUGUGAAAUGCGGGUGCUCAACAUCCGACUUGCAGCGCGAACUGGGGGGCUUGAGUGCGCCGAAAGUAGGCGGAAUUCGUGGUGUAGCGGUGAAAUGCUUAGAUAUCACGAAGAACUCCGAUUGCGAAGGCAGCUUACUGUAGCGCAACUGACGCUGAUGCUCGAAAGCGUGGGUAUCGAACAGGAUUAGAUACCCUGGUAGUCCACGCGGUAAACGAUGGAUGCUCGUUGUUGGCCCUUAUGGUCAGUGACCAAGCGAAAGCGUUAAGCAUCCCACCUGGGGAGUACGCCGGCAACGGUGAAACUCAAAGGAAUUGACGGGGGCCCGCACAAGCGGAGGAACAUGUGGUUUAAUUCGAUGAUACGCGAGGAACCUUACCCGGGCUUGA